AUACGGAGGGUGCAAGCGUUAUUCGGAAUCACUGGGCGUAAAGGACGCGUAGGCGGAUUGGCAAGUCAGAUGUGAAAUCCUACAGCUUAACUGUAGAACUGCAUUUGAAACUGCUAACCUAGAGUAUGGGAGGGGGAGAUGGAAUUAGUGGUAUAGGGGUAAAAUCCGUAGAUAUCACUAGGAAUACCGAAAGCGAAGGCGAUCUCCUGGAACAUAACUGACGCUAAGGCGUGAAAGCGUGGGGAGCAAACAGGAUUAGAAACCCUAGUAGUCC
rnacentral:rRNA from 1 species